GCUCCCAUUCCCAUAUCAGACUUACUUGGAAGUGCUGUCUUCCUCAAAGUCCACUGAACCCCAGGAGUGAGGGGUGAGGUCCACAAAGAAGAGGAGGUUAGUUCAGGAUUUUCACUUUCACAGAGGAAAGUGAAACUUUCACUAUAACUUCACUCUAGCUUGGGAGCCAGUAAUCUUAAAGAGGUCUUCAUAUAUCUCACAAGAAAAUUUUCUAAUUCCUGCGUAAAUUUCUUUCUACUGGCGAAAGACAGUAAAAUCAUUAAAGCCCAGAGUGAGAUCUCAGAAGGGGCCUCUUGGUUUGGUAGAGCUGUCUGUAUUUCAGUGUCCAGGUCAGGGGACCAAUGAGAUGUGAGAGAGCCACUGUAAUGUUGUUUCUCAAGUCCUAUUGCCAAACACUGCUACAGAAGAGACCAGUCGCUGGGGGGCUGUGAGGGAGAGGUAGGUGAGUAGCAUUUCCAUAUCAUCAGUAUGUUUCAGACCUGUAAGAGAAUGGCCAGAGAAGAGGGAGCACUAAGAAUGGCCACUGGCUCUUAAGAACCCCUGUUAGGAGUUUUACCCCUGCAGGUAAAGCCUUCCUGCUUUGUCAAUGCCAAAGGAUAGAAGUGGCAAGGAAGAAAGCAAAGAGGCCCUACAUCUCUGCACUGACAGAGGCAAAGGACUCCUUGUGGCCUCUCAGGUGUUGGAGAGGAGGCCUGGGAAACUUGGAAUCCCUGAUUCCUUACUGGCUGCUCAGUUAUACCUCAGUUUAACAGCUCCCCACCCUUCCCAAGUCAUCCCAGAAAAAUGCCCCAACUACUCUUAACAUGGAGCCUGCAUUAUGGGGCACCUGACUAAUGACCAAGUGUUCACAAGUGCCCAUUUCUUACUCUCUGCUUUGUGCUGACCAAACUCAAAUCAGGCAGCUUCUCCACACAGGCCCUUGAAAUUUAGCCCCAGACUCCCAAUCUGAGCAAGCACUAAAAUGGGGAACAGUUGCCCUUGUCACUUGCUCCCCCAAAUUCUUAGAACACGGAUACAUUUCUUGUUAAACCACGCCCUGGCCAAUGAGUUUAUUCCCUUCAUGUGCCCCACUUUCUCCUGUGGCUACUCCCCUUACCUAAUAGGAAACAACAAAUCAAAAACUCUGAUUUUCAGUUUGGUUUUGGGAGGCUUGUGGAUUUAUUCACUAUGAUAAUAGUCGUUCUAAUUAAAGUCUUUCCCUAUCUUAUGUAAGUCUGCAUUUGUUUUUACUUGAUAUUGGUGUGCAGCUAAGAAUGAUCCCAAGUGAGUGUGAGCCUCCAAAGGUAAGGAAUGAAAACUCAGGGCCCCUUGCAUUUAUCUUUUUGGGGAAAGGUAAAGAGGUCUGCGAUGAAUAGUUCUCUCUUAAACUUCAACUUUCUAAAGCGAAAUGAAUUUCGAAAUGAAGUUUGAAGCUUGAGCUCUAGGAGUUCUGGCUGGGCAAGAAAAUUGCUGGUUGGAAAACACCAUUGUGCUCACUGCUGGGGCGAAGGGUGUGCUCAGAACAGUGUGGGGUGGAGACAGAGGAAUGAGGGGUGGGAUAGGCGGGGAAAGAAGUGGGAGGUACACCAGGAAUUAGUAGAAACCGCGCUUCUGUGGGCGAACACCGGUGGGGGGUAGGGAGGAGGGUGGUCUUAGCCUCUGCACCCUGAGGUCACCAGCGGCGGCAGCCGUGGCUAGAGCAGCAAACAGCAACAGCGAGCGGGACGGAGUUAGGACCGCUCGGAGCGCCCAGGUCUCGAGGUAGUAUAAGGUUUGCAAUCCUUCCACUUGCUGGCAGUUGCAGAAGAUCUCCUUUUUAAGUGAAACGUACAUGCCACCCCUCCGAGGGCUGCGGCUUCCCUGGGCUGCUUCUUUGCUUCUCCCUUUUCUGGCCCUCGCGCUCACUCUUUAAUUUGUCUGCGCCCCUAAGUUUGCCAAGAGCUCGCUUUCGGCUGGGAGAAGGGUCCCGGCCAGGCGCCGCGGGCGGGGGCUGGGGACCCGGGAACCGCAAUCCAGAAGCAUCGUGGGCUAUGUAUAUUUCAUCAAACGGACUUUGGGUGCGUCGCGUCUCGCAGCCAUCAACACUAUGUGCAGUGACAUUUCUGACUUGAGUGGAGGAAUGCGCGAAGGAAGCCCGGGCGAAAUUGGUACUAGAGGAUCUUCUUGGCGCCAAUGCUAAUUGUCCUGAUUUAUGUCCCUUCUGACUAAGCUCAACGUCUUCAUCUGAAAUAAAAUGAAAGCGGUGCCAAGCGGGAUAGAACCGCCUGGCCGCUGGUUCUGAUCCCUGGGAAUCAGGAAAUCGUCCUG
rnacentral:lncRNA from 1 species